ensembl:lncRNA
CAGGCUCAGAGAGCUGGAGUUAUUCCAUCUGGAGAAGAGAAGGCUCCAGGGAGACCUGCAAGCAGCCUUUCAGUAUCUGAAGGGAGGCUAUAAGAAAGAAGGGGACAGACUCUUCAGCAGGGUCUGUCAUGACAGGACAAAGGGAAAUGGUUUUAAACUAAAAGAAGGGAGAUUUAGACUGGAUAUUAGAGAAAAUGUUUUUUAUAGUAACAGUGGUGAGGCACUGGGACAGGUUGACCGGAGGGGCGGUGGAUGCUCUGUCCUUGGAUACAUUCAAGGUCAGGCUGAGUGGGGCUCUUAGCAACCUGAUCUAGCUGUAAGUGUCCCUGUUCAUUGUAGGGCAUUUGGACUAGAUGGCCUCUAAAGGUCUCUUCCAAUUCAAAUGAUUCUAUGAUUCAAUGAUUCUAAAUCAGCUAUAGAACAAAAGGCAGGACAGUUCAUGGUGGGAGUGUGGACACGCACACGAAGAACUGAUGCUGAUGGGCACAUCCAAUACCCUUUGGGACACUGGAGGAGAAUCCUGGGUGAGCUGCUGGACUCUCCAUCAGCUUUCAACCUACUGAAACUCCUUGUCAAUUACUGUCCCUUUCUGAAGUCACGAAAUACUGUCAGCAACAUUUUAGAGAUGGGAAAGAGGGACCCUGAGGACUGAAUUCACGAGAGUUGAAUCUGAAACACAACCAACUUCCAUGCCAGUUGUGGCUUGCCCCAGGUUAUGCACCAUCCAACUGACAAGUGACCGGGGGCCACCUGCAGCCAAGUCCUACAGAUUUCUUCUGACAAAUUUUCCUGCUAAGAAGGCAAGUGUGGGAAGAAAUACUGAUGACACGUGCUUCUGAUGGAGUCAGUGGUGUCCAGGAGCAGGAUGCAGCUGCACAACCACGCCAUAAGUGCCUUACCUUCAUCAAGAGCAAAUCAUGACAUUUUUUGAGGAGGGAAACUUUAAAGCACUGCUGAUAAAUGCUGAGCAGAACGAGACAAAAUGGCGGACAGGGGAACCCUGCAGAAGAGGGCGUGUGAAGUGGCCAUGACAUCCUGGGCU